AGAUCGAUGCUCAUGCUGUUGAUCACUGGAUUGUCUGGUCCAGACUCGAUUAUUUACAGACCUCCGCCAUGUAGUUUGAGUGCGGCAUUAAACCAACCAGCCAACAAAUGGUUAAAGGGCUAAGGAGCUCUGCCUCAGGAAAACUGAAGGGUGGUUUGUGGGAAGUGCAGAUCUUAGCUGAUCAACUGUAAAGACCUCUGUUCAUGACACAUCCAAGAUAGAUGCAGUAGUGCUGAACAAUACAUGACUGGAUGAUGAGUAGAGCAGGGAAGUUACAACUACUGUUAACACUAGGUAGUAGGUACUAUACUGGGCAGGAUAUUAUGAAAUGCAGUUCAACCUUGACCUCAAAGCAUCAUUCAUCAAAGCAUCAGAUUGUGUUAGGGCUGGCUAUCAAUAUAGUUCAUAGAAGUCAAUAUUCAUUAAUUAAAUAUCAAUUGAUUAUCGAUAAAUAUUGGAAAUAUAAAUGUGAGCGAAAAUUCCAAAACAAGUCCAAAAGGAAUCAAGAUAUUUUACAUCGCUGUUGAGUGAUGAUAUAUGUAUUCAUGGAUGACCAACUAAACAGCGUCCUGAACAAACUUUAGAAGCAGCCUUUGAAAAUCGACAAAGCUUUGUGUACAAUGUGCAUAAAUUAAAACUAUUUUUCAUCUCAUUAGACUGAGUAUGAUGUUAUUGAUGACACAAUUUUCAUAUCGAUAAUCAUUGAUAAUUCUUUCCAUUGAUGAUAUAUAUCUAAUUAUCAAUCUUUUAGCCAGCCCUCGAUUCAGCAAGAUACUAUGUACAUAUCAUCUAUGUAUGUUCAUGUCAAUGUUUAUUGUAUAUUCCAUUGUGUAUAUAUCUCAUGACACAAAAUAAACAAACAAUCUGCA